GCAAGUCGAGCGGUAACAGGGAUAGCUUGCUAUCUGCUGACGAGCGGCGGACGGGUGCGUAACACGUAGGAAUCUGCCCGGUAGUGGGGGAUAGCCCGGAGAAAUUCGGAUUAAUACCGCAUACGCCUUAAGAGGGAAAGCAGGGGCUCUUCGGACCUUGCGCUAUCGGAUGAGCCUGCGUCGGAUUAGCUAGUUGGUGGGGUAAAGGCCUACCAAGGCGACGAUCCGUAGCUGGUCUGAGAGGAUGAUC
rnacentral:rRNA from 1 species